rnacentral:rRNA from 1 species
UACGGAGGGUGCAAGCGUUAAUCGGAAUUACUGGGCGUAAAGCGUGCGUAGGUGGUUCGUUAAGUCCGUUGUGAAAGCCCCGAGCUCAACUUGGGAAGUGCACUCGAUACUGCGAGGCUAGAGUAUCGGAGAGGUUGGUGGAAUUCUCGGUGUAGAGGUGAAAUUCGUAGAUAUCGAGAGGAACACCGGUGGCGAAGGCGGCCAACUGGACGAAUACUGACGCUGAGACUCGAAAGCGUGGGGAGCAAACAGG